rnacentral:rRNA from 1 species
UGGGGAAUAUUGCACAAUGGAGGGAACUCUGAUGCAGCGACGCCGCGUGAGUGAUGAAGGAAUUCGUUUCGUAAAACUCUGUUCUAUGGGAAGAAAAGGACUGUACCAUAGGAAAAAGCUCCGGCUAAAUACGUGCCAGCAGCCGCGGUAAUACGUAUGGAGCGAGCGUUGUCCGGAAUUAUUGGGCGUAAAGGGUGCGCAGGCGGCUUUACAAGUUGGAUGUGAAAUAUUGUGGCUCAACCACAAACGUGCAUCCAAAACUGCAAAGCUUGAGUUAAGGAGAGGUAAGUGGAAUUCCUGGUGUAGCGGUGGAAUGCGUAGAUAUCAGGAGGAAUACCGGUGGCGAAGGCGACUUACUGGACUUAAACUGACGCUCAGGCACGAAAGCGUGGGGAGCAAACAGG